AUACUUAAUCUGGCCAUGGAGAUAACAUGAUCACGGAGGUGGUUUCCCAGGGCGAGGCUCAUCCGUUGCACUCCGGAUGUGCUGACCCCUGGGAUUUCUCCAAAUGUGGGAGACUCAACUGCAUAAUUUGUGGUAGUGGAGGACUGCGUUCACACUUUCCCCUA